CUGACCUCAAUCAGGUAGGACUACCCGCUGAACUUAA
rnacentral:rRNA from 1 species